UCCCAUUUCACCACCAACCUAUGUUGUCAUGACAACAAAAAUGAAUCGAGAAGAAGGUUUGAAAGCUUUGGAAACAUCUAUCAAAGCCAUUGAAGAAGUCAUUAUGAACAAGAAAGGAACAUUUGUUCUACAACAAGCUCCAAAGGCUGUCACAGAUAUAGAUGAAGCAGAUUUUGCAAAGGAACUGGAAAAACUUGAAUGUCAAAAUGCAGAAGUUGAUGGUGAUGAUGAUAAUCCUGAUGAUGAAGAAUAACAAGAGCUUGUUUUGACUCUUGGGAGAUGUUUCCAUCACGAAAGUCAAAGUGUAAGUGAUAUCUGACGAUGUCAUGAGCUCGACGCAGUUUAUAAACAUUUACAAGAACCAAUCAAAACCUUGUGAUUUCACCACCCAAAGAAAAUUCUGAUUCUGAUCAUAAUUAUGUACAUUGACGCCCACCAUUCUGUGACGUAAAUCGAUGAAGGUAAAGCGAACAUCUUCACAUCUUCAUGUUGUCAGGUUGAGAUUUCUACUUCAGAAGAGAGGUUGCUGUAAGAGUUAUUAUAGAACUCAAUGGAUAUACUACACAACAAAACUGGUGUGAAGAAUUAAAUCCGAUCAUUCCGAAGUAAAGUGUUGCUGGAAGAUGAGUAAUUUCCUUAGAUUUAUUCUCUUUUACACGCAUAUUGCUUGUGGUGAGCCCUGCAGUUUUCAACACCAAUGACUAACGCAUGCGCAUUAGAGUAAAAGCGAUUUUUUCUUGCUGUGAAACAAGAAAAAAUGAGAGUCCCCCAUUGGCCAUGUCAAGAAACAGUGGCUGCUGCAGAAGUUAAUGAUAAAUCAAUUAGGAACUGGAUAAAUGAACAAUUGUAAUUUAUAUAGUCAAUCAAUUUUAUCUAUUUUAUUUGUUGUACCAA